rnacentral:lncRNA from 1 species
UUUUCAUAUAUUUCAUAAUAUAUAAUUGUUGCAUUAAAGCAAAGCAACACUUGCACAAAUUAAGGGUCAUUGGGACCUCCUCUACCAUAGGUAUUUUAAGAAAUUAAGAAAACUACUUGUAUUUUCUUUUAGUUAUUUUCAUUGAUUCCCACAUGGAUCAUAAGUGUAUUUUGAUAUCUAUUUAAGGAAAUGGAACAUUUACCAUAGAUGAAUAAACAAGCCCUAGCCCACCACAAGAUCCUACCUAUUUUUACUAAGCAACGUUUGGAUUUGAGUAACUUGUUUUGUCUGGCACUCAAGAAUAGAAGCUUUUCUCUAAUUUACGGUUUUGUAUGAAAAUGGCAGCCUUAAAUGCUCGAGUUAUAUACAUUUGCAGUUUAUAGGUGGUACCACUAUACCACUAUUGUUUGUUUUCUUCUUCAUUUUAAGGUUUUAAUUCUUGCAUUUUGGAGAUCCCCAAUUCAUGAGAUCAAGAUUCAAGAUCUCAUGUAUCUCAAUUGAGAUCAAACAGAUCAAAUAAAUAUAGAUUUUAAAUUUUGUUUCAUAAUUUUACGGAAGGAGGUAUAAAGUUUGAUCUAUAGUGCUAAUAAAUUUUCUCCCCUUCUAAUUAAUUAUUAAGCACUAAUAGUUAUCUAUCUGUAAAACGUUUGGUAAAACCUUUCGCGAUUCCUAAAUUUUAUUUUAUGUAACAAUUC